UAAACUUCUGUGUUGACACUGACUCACAGUUGGUUCUUCUACGGACUUUGGGUGUUAUAAUAUUAGUCAUUUAACUAUUCACCAAGAGAUCAGGUAUUGGUACUGUGUGUGAGCUACUCGGCCAGAUCGUCCUGUUUUCAUGGUACAUCUACAUACGACGUUUAAUCGUACAUGUGGGUACCAUUGCUGCUUCUGAUUUGGUAAAAUUUAGAUCCUUAUCAUGUAUCUGGAUGGUGCAGGUUUUCCUUUUUUCACAACAUCAUUUGUUUUGGUUCAUCAUUGUGCUAUUCUGAAUAAGUUAGCGUGGUACUUGCUUGGUGUUCCACCAGGAGCUGUUAUACCCUCUGUGUCAAGUACUCAAGUGUCAACAUCGUGUAGAUGAGCUGGACAUGCCAGGAAAGCCAUUGACACGAGGAGGAUCGUUAUGGUCAGCCAGUGCAAUUGCAGCUUGCAGGCUUUAAUGAUGGCAGUUAUCGAGGACUUGGACACGGAUAAUUUUGGAGAGCAUCAGAUGUAUAUGAAAUGGUCCAAUUAGCUAAGGAUCAUUCUUUCUGGAUAGCAGUGCGCUUAUGCCCCGCCUCAGGUGCGUGUGUUACUGUCCGUACGAUUGACCUUGCUAGGAAGGGUUGCUCCAGUUCAUUGGAGAACCCAGUCUCAAAUAUAUGCUUUAUACAAGAAGCUGUGGACUCAUCCAGAUUGACUGAUCGACUUAUCCAGGUAACUGAACUGCUCCUAGAUGUUUACUUGUCGAGUUGUACUGUACUGCUAUCCUUGUGUGGAAUUCUUAUGGCACUGUCCGCAUGCAUUUGUCAUACGGGUGGAACCUGAUGAGAACUUAUGGGUCGGCGGGCCUGCCUCUUUCUGUUCCCCAUCAUGGGCCCGCCAUUCAUUCCAUUCCAUUCCAUUCGAGGGGGCAUAGUAAAUCCUAAGUAGGCCCAUUUCUCCUGAUCUCCAGGAUGUCUCCCUUCCCUGGAGGGUAUACCGAACACCGAUUAUUCAACUAGCUGGGCGAUUCCCUAUGGUAUGGUAUGGUAUGGCCCAAUGCUUGCCAACUCGCCUGCAGUCAGGCUUAGCACACUGUUUAGUCCAACCAUUGAUAAUUUGAUAUCCAACGAUGUACACUUGUGCAGACCAACACACUCAGCUUUCACGAGCACACUGUUUUGUUCGCAGACAGCGACUUGUCAGACGGGUCAACGUCACUUGGGGUUUAGAGUCCCAUUAUGCUACCUGUUAAUUACAAGAUUCUUUAAUUUCUUCAAGGAUUAAUUGUGUACGUAGCAAUCUGGUAGAACAUUAUCAUAUAAUGAUGUAUUGGCUCGCAUAUUUUGUUUGUAGCUACUUACCAUGACGAUGUGUGCAAUACAACCUUGUUGCGGGAAAAAGUAAAUUGUAUUUGUACAGUCUCUUGCCUCAUUGAUAUGUAAUGGGAGAUUCUUCAUCCAAUCCAAUCCAGAACGCAAUACAAACCCAAAUUAAUAUAAGUUUAAAGGGGCUUAUAUUGCCCGCAAAUGACGCGUACAAGUAGCAAGCUAACGCAUUAGAUUAUCUCAUCUUCAUGUGGCAAUUUAGUGGCCCCUAUAAACAAUUGGUAGCAUGUCUGGCUGCCACUGAGCAGACGUGACUGAGUGCACACGACAGUGGAGUAUUUGCGUGCUCUGCAGCUGCUCAAGGAAGGAAUUGAAGCAGCUAGCUAACAAACAAACAU